AUCAAGCAGUGGUGAUGUUCCUUUACCCUUGUGGGUAAUAGUAGGGUAGUUGGACCUUCAAAAUUUAUGUGUCUAAACUUUGUCAGAGAUCUUUGGCAAAGUUAUAUGUGGUACCCGAGGAGUUGAUGUUGCGUGUGGAAAAUGGUGCCUCUUCGGAAUCCGGAGAGUGGUGCCUCUUCAAUUUUUGAACCAACGGCCCUGUUGCCCUUUCUUUUAUAAGGGCACCAAUUGUGUGCAAGAAGUACAUUCAGAG
rnacentral:lncRNA from 1 species